rnacentral:rRNA from 1 species
UACGUAGGGUGCAAGCGUUAAUCGGAAUUACUGGGCGUAAAGCGUGCGCAGGCGGUUUGGUAAGACAGAUGUGAAAUCCCCGGGCUUAACCUGGGAAUUGCAUUUGUGACUGCCCGGCUAGAGUGUGUCAGAGGGGGGUAGAAUUCCACGUGUAGCAGUGAAAUGCGUAGAGAUGCGGAGGAACACCGAUGGCGAAGGCAGCCCCCUGGGCUGACACUGACGCUCAGGCACGAAAGCGUGGGGAGCAAACAGG